GUAGGUGGCAAGCGUUGUCCGGAAUUAUUGGGCGUAAAGCGCGCGCAGGGCGGUCCCUUAAGUCUGAUGUGAAAGCCCACGGCUCAACCGUGGAGGGUCAUUGGAAACUGGGGGACUUGAGUACAGAAGAGGAAAGCGGAAUUCCAAGUGUAGCGGUGAAAUGCGUAGAGAUUUGGAGGAACACCAGUGGCGAAGGCGGCUUUCUGGUCUGUAACUGACGCUGAGGCGCGAAAGCGUGGGGAGCAAACAGGAUUAGAUACCCUGGUAGUCCACGCCGUAAACGAUGAGUGCUAAGUGUUAGGGGGUUUCCGCCCCUUAGUGCUGCAGCUAACGCAUUAAGCACUCCGCCUGGGGAGUACGGCCGCAAGGCUG
rnacentral:rRNA from 1 species